rnacentral:lncRNA from 15 species
GGGAACCGUCACAGCAUGCAAGAUUAAGAAGAGCCUCAACAAGGGGGGAAAUAAGGCGAUGGCCUAUGUGAGGUUUUCUACAGAGGAUGAAGCAGACAGAGCAGAAUGGGCUGGUCCACACUACAUUGGAGGCGAUGUGGAAGUGAAACGAGUUGUUAGUCCAAAGAUGGAGGAGGAUUCAGAAGAGGGGGUCCCCGCAGUCGCUGAUAAACCUAAACUGCGGCGUUCAAUGGGUUUGGGCUACAUACUGGAAGAUGCUCAGUGGUUAGAUGAUGAUGAGAUGGAUGAAUAAACAAAUACUGUGCAACUUUUUGUGGACAUUAAUUUAGAGAUUCUAAACUAAUAAGCUCAUAAAGAAAUCAAUGGGACUCCAUCAUCCUCUACAGGCUGCAGGGUGAAAAUAUUCUUAAGACUAACAAUAUUCAUAUUUUCAAAACUUGUUUAUCUGUUUAUAAAGCCUUAAUGUGAGUUACUGUGAUAAAUAUUGUGCUGAUUUUAUGUUGUGAAUUGUUAUUGUUUACCUUGGGUGGAUAAUAAAGCUGUUUUCUGUGUGGUUUAUUUACACAAAUAAUUUGACUUUUUAUAUAUAUUUAUAUUCACAUCUGUUUUGCCAGUAAAAUGCCUUGUAUUUGUCCACAUACUUGGCCAAUAAAGCUGAUUCUGAAUAAUGUUUGUCAAAGUCAUUGGCUGUUAAAUAUAUAAUAAUAUAUAUAGUACAUAUAGAUAUUCGCUCCCUUUCUGCAGCUACUGUUGGUGAAUACAACAUGAUUUUUAUUUUAUAAAUGACAUGACACUCUGCAAAAUGCCGUACAAAAGUAUGUUUUGUACAGAAAUGAUUAAUAUUGUGCACAUUUUAUGUUGUUUGUUUGUUGUUUUUUUUUUACCCUGGGUGGAUAAUAA